AGUAUUUACAAUCUAAAGUGGCAUACAAAAGUAUUCAAAAGUGGAUACAUGUAUGGUUUGCCAAAACAAAAGAAAAACGGACCCAAAAGUACAUUUAGGGUUUCAAUAAAUGAGCUAUACAAAGAUAUGUCCAACUAGCUCAAUUCGGCAACCAAAUAUCAAUUGCAGUCCAAAAGUAUUUAUUUUUCUGUAAGGAAAAUAAAAGGAAUAGUGUGAGCUAAUUGCCCAGUGAGAUAAUACUACUCAAGCAACCAAGUUCAUAGAUGCAUCAAGUUUUUCAGUCCAAUUCAUCAAAAGUAAAUAAAGACACACAUCAAUAAUGAUGAUAAAAGGAUACGGGCGGCUCUCAAGAACCCUUUUCCUCGUUUGCAUUCUUGAUCGGAUCUCAUUGACUCUCCGUCAAUGUUUAAAAGUAACCAACCGUAGACUUCACUUUACUUCCAUUCCUUCCACCUAACAUUCCCCUACCGGGCCCGAACUCCAAACACUUGCACUAUGGUAUUACUCGAGUAUACCGGAAUCGAGAGUCUCUCAUACUACAAGAUUCCAUAUAACCUUUCCCCAAGGCUCAUUAAUUGUUACGACCAAACCCUCGCCGGCUCGAUUCAAUCAACUACCAAUGGGGUUGAGCUCAAUGAUAACAAUCAUGGUCGUUGGAUACUCGUCCAAACGACACCAAGUCAUGUACUUUCAUUUCAUAUAACAUGAGAAAUAAGUGAGAGUGAUAAAGUACACCCUCACUUCAAUCAAUAUCAAUGGUACAAAAAACAUUUAACUCAUCAAGUUCAAGUAUCAAAGCCAUAUAGUAACACACAAGUGAGUAGUACACUCACCAAGUUUGCAAAUGAUAUUUCAUGCAACCCCGU
rnacentral:lncRNA from 1 species